rnacentral:tRNA from 1 species
GGGGAUCUAGCUCAGAUGGUAGGACGCUCGCUUAGCAUGCGAAGGUACGGGGAUCGAUACCCCGCAUCUCCA